UAGGUGGGAGGCUUUGAAGCACGUACGCCAGUAUGUGUGGAGCCGUCCUUGAAAUACCACCCUUGUAGUGUUGAUGUUCUAACGUCGACCCCUAAUCGGGGUUGCGGACAGUGCCUGGUGGGUAGUUUGACUGGGGCGGUCUCCUCCCAAAGAGUAACGGAGGAGCACGAAGGUGGGCUAAUCACGGUUGGACAUCGUGAGGUUAGUGCAAUGGCAUAAGCCCGCUUGACUGCGAGAAUGACAAUUCGAGCAGGUGCGAAAGCAGGUCAUAGUGAUCCGGUGGUUCUGAAUGGAAGGGCCAUCGCUCAACGGAUAAAAGGUACUCCGGGGAUAACAGGCUGAUACCGCCCAAGAGUUCAUAUCGACGGCGGUGUUUGGCACCUCGAUGUCGGCUCAUCACAUCCUGGGGCUGAAGUCGGUCCCAAGGGUAUGGCUGUUCGCCAUUUAAAGUGGUACGCGAGCUGGGUUUAGAACGUCGUGAGACAGUUCGGUCCCUAUCUGCCGUGGGCGUUGGAAGAUUGAAGGGGGCUGCUCCUAGUACGAGAGGACCGGAGUGGACGAACCUCUGGUGUUCGGGUUGUGUCGCCAGACGCAUUGCCCGGUAGCUAAGUUCGGAAUCGAUAACCGCUGAAAGCAUCUAAGCGGGAAGCGAGCCCUGAGAUGAGUCUUCCCUGAUACUUUAAGUAUCCUAAAGGGUUGUCGGAGACUACGACGUUGAUAGGUCAGGUGUGUAAGUGCUGUGAGGCAUUGAGCUAACUGAUACUAAUUGCCCGUGAGGCUUAACCAUACAACACCCAAGGGGUUU
rnacentral:rRNA from 1 species